CCAACCAAAGUUAUGAUAGGAAAAGAUGUUUAUAUGUGAUUUUGACACUAAAACAUUUAAAAAAUGACAUUUUGAUGUCUGAAAGUCUCUAGAUUUUGAAAUAAAUGCAGAUAUAAAUGUAAUAAAAAAAAAAAAUUUAAAAUAUUGCACCCGUCAAUACAGAACAAAAUAUUCCGUAGCCUAUU